rnacentral:lncRNA from 1 species
GUAGACUUAAGAAUAAGUUAAUUAUUUUUACUUAUUACUUAAAGUUGUUUUUGACUUUAAAUCACCAAACAUACUUAAUUUACUUAACGAAUUAAAUUAAGUUAUUAAGUUACUUUAAGUCAGUUUACCAAACACCCAUUUAGUAUCUUUAUAAAUACUUUAUUUUGUCGUUAGUGAAAUAAUAGAAAAAUUAUAUCACUACCAUUUUGUUUAAGAAAAUUCUAAAAAGAAAAAGAUUUUUCAAUCAUCUUUUUUUAUUGCAUUCUAAUAUGGAAAAAUAAUAAUUGAAUUUUUAAUAAGUCCAAUGAUUACUUGGCACAUUAAUGUGCAAUAAAUACAAAAAGAGAUGGUAAUCGACAACAAGUAUAUUAAGAACAACAUUUUGAUUUGCCUUCUUUGAGUACAAUAGUUAAGAGUUUCUAAAGGAGGAAGUUGGUUAUACUAAUUCAUUUAUGUUAAUAAAUAAUUUUUUGUACUAUAAUAAUUCUCUUUCAAUAGUUAGAAAAAGGACUAUAAAUUUAAGAGGCUAAAGUAUUAAUUAUACAUUAGUAAAAUCAAUUUAAAUUCCAAAUCCAACACUUUACCUCUAAUUACUGACUCCAUAAAAUUAUAAAAGAAAGUAUUCUUUUUUGCACUCUAAUUUAAACACUGAUUCAGAUUUUUAAGUAAAAUCGACUUUGAAUUAACAAUUUUAAAGUGAAAUUUCUUGAAAUAACAUCCACCUAAACAUGCAUGUUGUUCAAGAAAUAGUUCAUAUUGGUUAGCAGUUGACACAAAUUUCUUGAGAGGCCAAUCUCUGAACGUUAGUUUUUGACUUUUCCAUUAGAUCUCCAUAAAAUAAAGCAUGUUGUCUAUUUUCUGAUGGUAGGAAGUAGAAGGUGUAUAAAUUUGCCAAAACUAUAUACCCUUAGUCUUUGGUUUUAAAUAAUUUGAGGAAAAAUGGAAGGAAACGUAGAAAGAAUUGAAUAAAAAAUAAAUUUAAAACUAAUAAAUUUAUUUUUAUAUAUUAUUUUAAAAAUAGAUUUAAAAAUUAAAUAAUUUGAAAGUUAAUAAGUUUUUAACUAAUUUUACUUAUUUUUUUUAUUUUUUUUAUUAUUUUUCAUAAUAAAACACGAUAAAAUCAUUACCACUUUCCCAUAAUAAAACACAAUAUUAUUUUAUUCUUAUAGAUUAGAGAAAAUGUGUUUGCCUACAUUAUUUUAUGGAGCAGGGCCAACACAUUAUUAAAAUCGUUAAAUAUACUUUGCCUACAUUUUAUCCCUUCAGCUUUGAUGUGUUUUACAUUUUGGUCAUUUACAUUCAAAAUCCAAGACUUUCCCUCUAAUUACGACUCCAUUAAAUUAUAAAAGAAAGUAAACACUGAUUCAAAUUUAAGUAAAAUUGAUUUUGAAUUAAUAAUUUUAAAGUGAAAUUUCUCAAAUGCUUUCAAAAUCUGAUAACUAUUAACUUUGAUUUUAAAGAGAAGUUUGCACUGCUAGUUGUGGGUAUCUUUUGGCUUGGACGUGCCCAUUGGAUCAUGGUCCAAUUUAUUCAAUUUGGGUUUGGCCAUAGUUCAAAUAGGUUGGAGCUAAGCUAUAGGCUUAUGGCAUUGAGGUUUUAGGAACUUUCAUAGUGGCCUAGUGGUAAAUCUAAUACCUAAAGAGGCUCCAAAAUGUUAGGGUUUUCCAUUGUCCUGCAAACCCAGCUUUGGCAUACUAGUGAAUGUCACCUUUUGUUUAAUGGAACUAAAGUCAUAUUUGGUUAUUGGAAAGUAUAUAAAAAAAAAAGUAAAAAAAUUAAGAAAAAUAAUUAUUUUUCAUGUUUAAUUGUAUUAUAAAAAAUAUAAGAGAAAAACAAAUAUAAUUAAAAUUAGGUGGAAAUUUAUGUAUUUUUAAAUUAUUUAAUCAUAUAUGAAUGAAUUAAAAUAAAUAAAAUGAGUUUCAAAUAGUAUAUAAAAAUAAUUUAUUGGUUUUGACUUUAUUUUUUUAUAUUUUUCCUCUAUUUUAUUAAUUUCCUAAAUUUUCUAAGAAACAAAUGUAGCCCUAAUUUUUGUGCAUCACUUGAAACAAGGUAUAAGGAUAGAUAUAAGGAUGGGAGAUUUUAACAACUGAUUCAUGCUAGAAUUCUUGAAAUAACAUCCACCUAGACAUGCAUGUUGUUCAAGAAAUAGUUCAUAUUGGUUAGCAGUUGACACAAAUUUCUUGAGAGGCCAAUAUUUGAAUGUUAGUUUUUGACUUUUCUAUUAGAUCUCCAUAAAAUAAGCAGUGAAAAAUUGAGGGUGUUUGCAUAAUUAAUGUAAAGCAUAUUCUCUAUUUUUUGAUAGUAGGAAGUAGAAGGUGUAUAAAUUCUCCAAAACUAUGUAUCCUUAGUUUAUGUUUAGUUCUAAAAAAUUUGAGAAAAAAUGGAAGAAAACGUAGAAAGAAUCGAAUAAAAAAUAGAUUUAAACUUAAUAAAUUUAUUUUUAUAUAUUAUUUUAAACUCAUUUUAGUUAUUUUAAUUUUUUAUUUAAAAAUUAAAUAAUUUGAAAAUUAAUAAGUUUCUAAUUGAUAAACUCACUAAGUUUCUAAUUUAUUUAUUAAAUAAUUAAUAAAUUUAUCUUAAAUUCACUAAGUGAUUCAUGCUAUUCAAUAAUAAAACCGAAGGUUAAUACUUGCUUAUUUCAUGAAUUUGGGUUCAUCUAGAAUUACAUAGUAGCUACUUACUUUAAUUUUUUCGAAGUUCCAAUCCCAUGAGAUAGCAGAAUAGCUAAAAAGUUUUGUUUUGCUUCUUGUUGUCGCCACUGCAGUGAGGUUUGUCUAGAAUAUACCCAAAGCAUCAGAAAAGUAGUUGGAGAAUUACUUAGAGGAAUAUCAAAGAGCUUGGGAUUGGAAGAGUGGUAUAUAGACAAGACCAUGAAUAUGGAUUCAGGUUUACAAAUCCUCAUUGCCAACCUCUAUCCACCCUGUCCUCAGCCAGAGUAUGCAAUGGGAUUGCCGCCUCAUUCAGACCACAGCUUCUUGACCCUCCUCAUACAGAAUGGGAUUGGUGGGCUUCAGGUGCAGCACAAAGGACAUUGGGUCGAUGUGAAUCCAAUCCCCAACUCCAUUUUGGUUAACACCGGCGACCAUCUUGAGGUACCUUCCUACCUUGCUUAUUCUGUUGUUUCUAUUCAGAGAUUGGUUCUCCUAUUUGGUUUUUUGACAUGAAAUUCUUCAAAUUGAUAAAUGGUAGUUUUUUCAUUUUAUUUUUUCAUUCUAUUUUUUCAUUCGUUCAUGUACAGAAUAUAUAGAGGGUAAUCACCAUUCUAAGAAUGGGAAUGAAUGAUAUAAGGAAAUAACAAGUAAUAUCCUAAUAUCUCAACUUUCCUAAUAUCUCAACAUUCCUAAUAUCUCAACUUUCCUAAUAUCUAAACAUUCCUAAUAUCUCAACACUGAAUGAUACAAGGAAAGAAUGAUUUAAGGAAAUCAUUCCUAAUAUCUCAACACUCCCCUCAAGUUGGUGCAUAGAUGUCACACAUGCCCAACUUGUCUAAAAAAUUUGAGAACACUUGACUUAAGACAGCUUUGGUGAGGAUAUCGACCAAUUGAUAUUAUGAUCGAAUCUUAGGCAAUUCCACAAUCUUAUCAUCCAACUUUUCCUUAAUGAAGAAUCUAUCCACCUCGACAUGCUUUGUACGAUCAUGUUGUACUGGAUCAUGAGCAUGCAGCUUUAUUGUCACAAAACAAUGGGAUUGGUUGCCUAGAUAGGUAGCCUAAAUCCUGUAAGAGGAGUCUUAGCCAUAAUGCCUCACAAAGUCCUAGAGUCAUACCUCUAAAUUCUGCUUUUGCACUUGAACGAGUGACGACAUUUUGCUUCUUACUUUUCUAUAUCACAAGAUUACCACAUACAAAGGUAAAGUAACCAGAUGUAGAUCGCCUAUCAUCCACUGCACUAGCCCAAUCAGCAUCAGUAUAUACUUCUAUACUAUGAUGAUCAACAUUUUUAGCAAACAAAAUUCCCUUCCUAGGAGCAUUCUUCAAAUACAUCAAAAUACACAUGACUGCAUUCAUAUGUUGCUCUCCAGGAUUAUGCAUGUAUUGACUCACUACACUCAAUGCAUAAGCAAGAUCUGGUCUUGUAUGAGCUAAGUACAUUAAUCUCCCCAUAAGUCUCUGGUAUCUUCCCUUAUCAGUUGAUACUUGAUUAGGCUCAACACACAAUUUUAGACCUUCUUCUAUUGGUGUAUUAACAGGUUGACAUCCCUAUAUUCCAGUCUCUUGUAAAAGAUCUAAGGCAUACUUUCUUUGAGAUAGAAAAAUUCCUUCACUUGAUCGAGAAACUUCAAUCCUAAGAAAGUAUUUCAGAGGACCUAGAUCUUUCAUUUCGAAUUCUCUAGAUAGAUAAUUUUGCAUAGCUUUUCUUUCUUUAGGAUCAUUUCCUGUAACUACCAUGUCAUCCACAUAUACGAUGAGUGCCGUAAUCUUACCAUGUUGCUUUUUCAGGAACAAAGUGUGAUCUGAAUUAUGUUGACGAUAGCCAAAAGCUCUCAUUGACUUUGUGAACCUUCCAAACCAUGCUCUCGGGGAUUGCUUCAACCCAUACAAUGACUUCUUCAAUUUGCACACCUUCUGGCAUUGCUUUUCUGACACCAUGCUUCCUGGUGGAAGAUCCAUAUAUACUUCUUCAGAUAACUUGACAUGCAAAAAGGCAUUUUUCACAUCGAACUGUUGUAAUGGCCAAUCUAGGUUUGUAGUUAAAGACAGUAAUACUUGAACUGUGUUGAUCUUAGCUACAGGUGCAAAUGUCUCUAUGUAGUCAAUUCCAUAAGUCUGAGUGUACCCUUUUGCUACCAGUCUUGCUUUAAAUCGUUCAAUACUACCAUCUGACUUGUACUUCACAGUAUAGAUCCAACGACACCCAACUGGCUUCUUUCCUGGUGGACAUUCUACGAGUUCCCAUGUUUCAUUCUUCUGCAAUGAUUUCAUCUCUUCAUUCAUGGCUGCUUUCCACCUUGGAUCAGCUAAGGCUUCCUGCACACUGUUAGGAAUAGCUAUAGUAGAUAAUUGAUUUACAAAUGACUUAUUUGAUUCAGACAAACGAUAGUUAGACACAUAGUUGCUCAUGGGAUAUUUGACUUUGGUAGACAAUUCGGGUUCAUAUGUGGGUUUAGGAAUACCUCUAUUAUGACGGUGUGGUAACCAUUUCAUGAAUGGAUCAGGUUCCAAAUUAAGAACACCCUCAACAGACGACAAUUGGUUUGGUAUUUCAGUGAAGACAUCUUCGAACCCAAAUUGUUGACUACUCAUAUCCAACUCACCCGCCUUCUAGUUCACUAGUUCAGAUUGUCCAGAUUCAUCAUCCUCAGAGAUAUGAUAAUCAUAAUCGAGAGUCUGAAUUUCCUUAUGGUACUCUCCUUAAAGUUUAGACUCAUAUGAAAAAUACAUCGAAUNNNNNNNNNNNNNNNNNNNNNNNNNNNNNNNNNNNNNNNNNNNNNNNNNNNNNNNNNNNNNNNNNNNNNNNNNNNNNNNNNNNNNNNNNNNNNNNNNNNNGUACUGAGUUUCAAUCAUUUUAUGAAAUUUUUGAAACAACAAGUUCACUUCAUCUUUGGUCUUCAUCAAGCAUAACCAUGUCAUUCUAGUACAAUCAUCAAUUAAAGUAACAAACCAACAUGAGCCACUCAAAGUUGGGACUUUGGAUGGGCCCCAAACAUCAGAAUGUAUAACCAUAAAAGGAAGCGGACUUUUAUUCAAAAUUAACGAAAAUGAAGCACGAUGGCUUUUAGGUAAUUCACAAAUAUCACAACGGAAACCAGAAAUAUCACUAUUUACAAACAAACUAGGAAACAAUUUUUUUUAAAUAACCAAAGGAAGCAUGUCCCAGACGUCGAUGCCACAACCAAAUUUCAGACUUUUUCUUCUCCCUCUCAAAUCCAUCUGCCAUCAAGGCUUGUUGCAACUUAUUUGAAUCAUUUGACUGCAAGUCCAAGUAAUAGAUUUUUCCUCGCUUAAUACCACAAUUAAUCGUUUGUCUUGUUUGGAUGUCCUUAAUCACACAAAAUUUAAGCUAAAAAAUGACAAUACAAGAUAAGGCUGCAAUGAUUUGAGAAACUGACAAAAGAUUGUAAUAUAAAGAUGGAACAACUAAAACAUAAUCCAAAUUCAAAGUAUCAGUAAGAGUUAAGGAUCCUUCCUCAAUGACUAGGGUUGUGUUACCAUUGGCUAUGGAAAUAAUUUUUUGUGAGGAAGGUCUAAGGGGUGAAACCUGUCUAGAAUCAAAAGUCAUAUGAUCUGUAGCACCAGAAUCAAUUAUCCAUGCAAUAUUAAUAACAGGUGUAAAAGUAUUUAAAAACUUACCACCAUGAUCUGUAGCAGCUACCAAUGCAAAGGCUUUCUCAGCAACAUUAGCCUCUGUUUUUAUUUCGACAACAGUUGUAGUCGAUGUUUUCUUGGAAUCCUUCUUUCGUUGAUCACGAUUAUUAUCAUUAAUAACAAAGUGGUGAUAGCCUAAACAUGAUCUAAAGGUCCAUGGUUCGAACCCUCGGUUCCUCAUUGUUUUCCUGGUCAUACCAAGAGUUGUUGCUUUGAAAUUGUGGGAUAUCCAGACUAGUGGGAUCAGUCUUAUUGCAGUGAGUGCAUUUGAAGGUUGACUUAUCAAUAUUAGUAAUAUCUCAACUUUCCCAAUAUCUCAACAUUCCUAAUAUCUCAACAUUCCUAAUAUCUCAACUUUCCUAAUAUCUAAACAUUCCUAAUAUCUCAACAUUGAAUGAUACAAGGAAAGAAUGAUAUAAGGAAAGCAUUUCUAAUAUCUCAACAGAAAUAACGUAUGCUUUGGUAAUUUAUUUUUAAAAUCAAUGAUUAUCUUAUCGAAGAAUGGAAAAAAAAAAGUAUGAGAGGAUAGCUUUACUCUUCCAUUUGUUGACUUAAGGUUAUAUUUAGUUUACGAUAUGACUUAUUCUAUAUGCAAUCAAACUUACGAUAUGAUAAAUGGUAGGAUGUAUUAUCCCAUUUCAUUUUUUUUUAUCGACUCUACAUGAAAUAUGAUAAUUUUAAGUUGAAAUAUGAGGUAUACACAACCAUCAAUUAUAAAUUUAUUUUUCUUAUACAUUUUCUUCUUCUUUUUUUUUCAAGUUUUUAUAUUAUACAUUUUGUAAAAGAGUAAAUUUUAAUUGAAAAAUCAAAUUUGUAGUUUAAAAACGAAAUAAAAAUAUGUAAAAAAAAAUAUAUUGUAAAAUAAUAUAUAUAUAUAUAUAUAUAUAUAUAUAUAUAUAUAAUUUUUUAUUUAUAAAUUAUAAAUAUUUAAUUAUGAAUAUUAUUAAAAAAAUAAAAAUUACUUAUUAAACUAUAAAUUAUAAAACAAUUUUCAAAUAAUAUUAAUUAUGAGGGAGAUUUCAUACGUUUUUAAUAGAAAAUAUUAUGUAAUAUAAUUUUUAUUUUAAAGAAAUAUUGAACAUUAAAAUCCAAGAUGCUUUCAGCUCCAUUAUUUAUUCUUUUAAUAUAUCAAUAUCCCCUAUACUCAAUUGUUUAUAAUAUUUAAGUCUAUGAUAUUUAAAGAUAUCACAUUCCACUAAAAAUGAUAUCCUAAAUAUACAUAUAUAGUGGGAUCGAUAUGAUAUUUUAAGAAAUAAAUAUUCCAUUUAAUUUUAUCUAACCCACCAACCAAAUAUAACCUUAUUACACAUAUGACAAACCUUGCAAUGAUAUUUAAAUAAUAAUAUUGUAUAUGAAAUAUAAAAAUAAAAUAUUUUAAUGCCAUUAAAAUUAAUGAGGAAAGGGAAAGUAAGGUGGUAUAUAUCUUUUUUACGCCAAUUUUGUUUUGUUAGAUACAAUAUCCCAUAAGAUAAUUUGAUACGAAAACUUAUCAAACUAUUUUUGCAGUUUUACAACUUGGAGUUUUACCCUAAUCGUGCGUACAUUGUGCAUAAACUUUAGAAUAUAUAUGAUAAAAACUUAUCAAACCAAACAUCUUUAAGCAUAAACUUUUGUAAGUACAUUGUGCAUGAUUUAUGUCCAAGUGAUGGUUAACACCCACAAUAACAAACAAAUAUUUAGCAAGAUUUAGCUCACUUUACUUAUAUUCAUGCCUUAAUGCAACAAAACAUGUCUACAACUUACAUAAAAAGGAGUACUUCUCCAUGGCUAAAUCACAAAUCCAUAAUAAUAGAUAUGAAUGUAUGGUAAUUCAUUUGAAACAAUAGGAAUUCUCCUUAAUCAAAAUUAUGCCACAAGAACCUAGUUUAAUAGCAUAGUUUCCAUGAGAAUAAUUGAAAAUAAUGACUCUAGCUUAAGAAGAAGAUUAUACAUCGUAACAACUUGAAUCUCGUAGAAAAUAACCUUAUUUUUCUCUUAUUUUCUUCACGUUCUCUCUAAACACUUCUCUCCAAAUUGGGUCGAUGUAGAGAAAAUGCUAGGAGAACAACGAGGCUACAUAUAUUAAUUUUGGUAGGCACCAUUUAUUUUAUAUGUGGGAUCUAUUUUUGUCAUUCCUCCAAACAAAUCCUCCCAUUCGGUUGGCGUAUAUACAAGCACUCAUAGUAUAAUUUUUUUGUUAGUUCCCCUUCUCAACAUUGGCAACAAAAUCAAUUGAUAUCUUGAAGAAGUUUUUGUUUAUAUAAUUUAUUUUUUUCCCUUUUCCACAUUAUGUAUAUGCAUAUACAAAAUCGGACAAGAUUUGUCGGGUCCAUAUAAGAUAUAGAGUUUUUUUUUUUUUUCAUUUUUUGAAAAAUCAAUCAAAUAUGAAUGAUGUAAAGGGAUUAAACUUGAGCACAAUAGAUGGGGUUGUGACCAACUAUUUCACAUUUAAAUACUAGAUACAUUUUAUUUAAUACAGUUUAAAAUAUUCAUAUAUUUAUACUUAUCAAUGAUUUAAUUUGAUAAUAUCAAAGAUGAAAAAUAAAAAUUAUUCUUUUUGCUAUAUAUUUAAAUUUUUAUAAUUAUUUUAAUUCUAAUAAUAUAUAUAAAUUAUAUAUUUAUAAUAUCAUUAGUUUGAUCAUAAUUCAACAACCGAUCUGACCAUUGACCAUUAAACCAUGAAUCGAUAACAUUUCCAAUUCAAUGAUUGGUUUAGUUAUAAAAACAUUACAUAUACGUAUAUUUAUUUCAAAAAUUGUUCUUGCAUCCUAAUUAAUUUAUUUAACACAAGUUUUAAACAUUUUUUUUGUUUUCUAUUUAAGAAUUGGAGUGAGCAUCAUUUUUCUUCAUUUCUAUUUCAAUAAAUCCAUUAUUUUUGUACAAGGUUUUAAGUAAUGGUAAGUACAAGAGUAUUUUGCAUCGAGCAGUGGUGAAUAACAAAACCACUAGGAUAUCAUUGGCUGUUUCAAAUGGACCAUCACUAGACACAGUCGUUGAGCCAGCACCAGAGCUAAGUCAGCCAUCGACAUAUGUUGGAAUGACAUUUAAAGAAUACUUGGAACUUCAACAAGGAAACAAGCUUGAUGGGAAAACUUGCUUGGAUCGAGUCCGAAUCAAAACAAUGUGAACUUCAUUCCCAUCCCUUGCAUGUGAGAAUAUUGGUAAUAUCAAUGCUCAAAUAAUUUAAAAUGUUCUUAGAACAUAGAUAAUACGUAAAUGUUGGGGAUUGCUAAUGAACAUUUAUGCUUUUAUUUGUUGAUAUUAUGGUGGAUGUUUUUGUGUGAUUUGAGAGAAUAACAAAUGAAAUCAUUUCUAUCUUCUAUUUUAUUACUAUAGCCUUGAUAAAGUUCAUAGUUAAAGCACUAAUUUUCUAGCAAGCUUGAAAAUUUAAUUAGUUAGGGGGUAUUUGGUAAAAUUUAAUACUUAUUACUUAAUGACUUAAGUUGAUUUUAAGUUAAAUUAUACUUAAGUUGUAAACUUAAAACUUUUUACUUAAUUCUUACUUUAAGUAUUAAGUUUAUUUAAUAAAAUUAAUUUAAAAUUUAUUCUAAAUUAUUAAAUUGAUAUAUUUAUCCUUAUAAGUUAAUUAUAACUAGGGCAAAGGGGCUCAAGUAACAAUGGAGGUUAUGGAGUAAUAAAAGAAAUUGUAGAGGUAAUUAGAAUAAAUGAAGAUAAAAGGGUAAAAUGAAGUUGUAAACUUAAGAAUAAGUUAAGUGUUUUUAGUUAUACUUAAAAUUGUUUUUGACUUUAAGUCAUACCAUUAAGUUGUUUUACCAAACAUACUUAAUUUACUUCAUGACUUCAAUUAAGUUAUUAAGUUGGUUUACCAAACACUCACUUAGUGUCUUUAUAAAUACUUCAUUUUAUCGUUGGUAAAAUAGUAGAAAAACCAUAUCACUAGCAUUUUAUUUGAGAAAAUCCUAAAAAGAAAAAGUUUCUUUAAUCAUUUUUUUUAAUGCAUUCUAGUAUGGAAGAAAGAUCAUUAAAUUUUUAAUAAGUCCAAUGAUUACUUGGCACAUCGAUGUGCAAUAAAAACAAAAAGAGAUAGUAAUCAGCAACAAGAAUAUUAAGAAUAAAAUUUUCGUUUGGCCUCUUUGAGUACAAUAGUUAAGAGUUUCUAAAAGAGGAAGUUGGUUAUAGUAAUUCAUUUAUGUUAAUAAAUAAUUAAUUUUCUAUACUAUAAUAAUUCUCUUUCAAUUGUUAGAAAAAGGACUAUAAAUUUAAGGGGUUAAAGUAUUAAUUAUACACUAGUAAAAUCAAUGUAAUGAAAUAAUAUUUAUAAUAUCAAUCAUGUCCAUCAUAAUUGCAGAGUCUAGUGAGUGAAGAGCUUAUCCCUUGAAAAGGCAUGGUUGGUGUGUGAAACAUGCUAGAUGUAUAAGAAUUUGUGUCGUCUAUGUUAAAAUUUGUUUUGUGGGAAAUUAAUCCCACAACUAAAGAAGAUUUUUGUAUGAUUUUAAAUUUAAUUUUCCAUGUGAUUGAUUUUUCAAAUGCUAUAUUUUUAUAAAUGAAUUGUAAAAGCUUAUUGUUUUGAUAGAUUGAUUAUGAACUCCAUUGUAAAAUCAUAUGUUUUUCUUUAUCUAAAAAAAAAAAUUUGGAUAUUUACAAUCUCAUGUGAAAGAUAAAUCCAAAAUCAAAGGGCCAUUAUUUAUAGUGAGAAAGAUUGCUUUUAACCAAACCACAGACACAAGUAGAAAAUAAAGAAAAUCAAGAGAUUUUUAAUAUGGUUUGAUGAUCAAUGUGAUCCCUACAUCCACGAAGUGCACUAACUUGAUCCUUGUGAGCUCAAUAGGGAGCUCAAACCCUAACAUCCCUACGAAGUACAACAAAAUUGAUUUAAGCUUCAUAAUCCAAUAAUCUCCCACUUGAAAACUAAAGCAUAAGUAAACACUUUCCUUCAAUGAUUAAUGAGUAUGAUGCACUCAAACAACCUGCCCUCACCUUUGAUCCACUGAGGUUGCACAUAGCUCUAGUUUCUCUAUUAUCACUCUUUGGUCAACAUUUCAACUAGAUUCUUGCUACCUUGUAUCUUCACAAGUGUUAACACCUCAUCUUCAAGCAAAGACCUGAUGAAGUGAUAGCAAAGUGCUAUAUGUUUAGUCCUUGAAUGAAAUGUUGAAUUCUUAACCAAAUGUAUUGCACUUUAGCUAUCAUUGUGCAAAACAUUUACCACCUGUUUGAAUCCCAACUUUACCAACAAACUUCACAACCAGAUUAUCUCUUUGCUGACUUCUGCUAGGUUACAUACUCUACUUUAUUUUUAGAUAAAGUAACAACUUCUACAAUUGAGAAAUCAAAUUAAUAGCAAUAGUACCCAAAGUGAACACAUACCCUAUAGUGCUUCUCUUACUAUCUAUCUUGCCAACAAAAUCAUCAUCCACAUAUCCCUACAAUUUCAACUUGGCCCUUUUGAAGCAUAACACUUUUUUCUAGUACCUCGCAAAUACCUAAAUAUCCAUUUCACUAUUUCCCAAUGCUAUUUUCCUGGAUUUGACAUAAAUCUACUCACAACUUUAAUUGCAUAGGCAAUGUCUAGUCUUGUGCACACAAUAGCAUACAUCAAACUUCCAAUGGAUGAAGCAUAUGGGACUUUAGCUAUGAAACCUUUUUCUUCAUUUGUUUAUGGGAAAUGUUUCUUAGACGACUUAAAAUGAUUUGCUAGAGGUGUUUUAACUACCUAAGCAUCACUCAUGCUAAACCUCUACAAUACCUUAUGAAUAUACUCAGCUUGAGGUAACCACAAAGUGCUUGUUUGUUUGUCUCUACUAAUUAUCAUCCUAAUUAUCUACUUUAUUACACUAAAGUCCUUCAUCUCAAACUUGUUGGACAACUAUUUCUUCAACUUAUUGAUUUCAUCUAAAUUUAUGUCAACUACUAACAUGUCAUCAACAUAAAGCAGCAAAAUGAUAUAGUUAGUGUUAGGAUCCCCAAAUUACUUCAUUCCUUGGCCUUGGAUCUCGUGGGGUGUAUUAAUCUAUUUUUAGGCUCUUUAGAUCUAUAGCAAUGGAAAUUAUGGCACCAAAAACCAUUUUAAAGUAUAAAUCUAAAGAAAAAAACUCAUACUUGUGAUUUGUAUGUUCCUAAAUUGAUUUCUAUCUAACAAAGGCUCUCAAACUAUAGUGGUCACCAUAGAACUUGUCUAUCGAGCGACCUUUUACCCGAUCUUUCCAUUCAUGGGUCUUGGCACAAGAGAAGGGUAGGCUUCUCUCUCUCUCUCUCUCUCUAGAGGUGACUAGGGUGACUAGGGUUCCUAUCUUUGGAAUUUCAUAAAACUGAAGUGCCCUAACCCCUAAGGGAGUUUACACCAAGCCCAAAUUGGAAGAUUGAAGCCCUAACCCCUAAGGAAGUUUACACCAAGCCCAAAUUGGGCUUGGCUUACCUAAUCCAAUCUACUUAGGUACUAAUUACUUAAUCAACCCUAAUGAUCCCCAAUUAAUUAAUUAUCUCAAUCUAGAAAGACAAUUUAGUGCAAUCUCAUGUUUUUACCAAAACGCCCUUAUGUACACUUAUGAAUUAUAUACCUAAAAUACCCUCAAAGCUUGUACCACCAUGAACUAGGAGCUCGAGUAGGGACCACUAGAACCUAUAGGAAAAUAUAGGCUCUCUCAUAAUCCAAUUUUGAAGUUAACUCAACCCUUUACUAAAGAGAAUCAAUUACACUCCAGUAUUAAGUGAAAUUACAAUUAGACAAAGUUCAGGUUUGUCACCUACUAUUCAUUGUAUGUAGACUCCCUAUGAACUAGUGUCUAUAAUCUAACAAGGUCAUAUUAUUAACCCAUCAAGAUUACCUUUCUAAGCCUUGAGUUACGGAUCCUCCUAUUAUGUGAUCAAUCGACAUGCUCUAGCUCCAAGGAGCAUAUGUCAAAUUAUACUAAAGGAAUUACUAUGACCAUAGAUUUCAUGAUCACAUGUCCUUUAGAUCAUCAUCCAAGGGGACACACUGUCUCAAUCCCAUAAGAUAUCAUAGUGCCUUUAUUGAGAAUGCCUGUUGACACCAGCUUCCAUCAACAAUGACCUAAUCCAUAGGGAAUAUAUCACCACUUUAGGGUCUUACCCAUAGGUCAGAGUCUCCUAUUGAUUUCAACAUAGACUUAAUAUCCUCUCAAGGUUGAGAGCCCAUGUAACAUACUAGUUUAGUGAAUUAUGACAAUCUGAUAACCUUACUUUAUGAUUCAUUAUGGGUCUUGUUUAAUGUGUAACCAUACACACUAGUGCACUCACCAUGGCUAAGAUAAGUCAUCCAUCCAAUUAGGAGGUAGUGCAUUAUAGUCUUUAUUGGUUUGCCUAGAUUCAUGAACCAACUGUGACCAACUUAUCAUUUUGUAGGGAGCCCAUGAUUUAUAUCCUUUGUCCAACUCCUAAUGUACCCAAGUCAUGUACAAUGCAAGUGAUAUGAGUUGAAUGCUUAAAUUAAUGUCAAUGCAUAAAAGGGAUAACUUAAAGUAUAACUUUGUUACAUCAUGUGUUGCUUUUAAUGGUUCAAUCCCAAUAGUUAGAACCAAUCUUCUUGAAGUAACAACUAUGGUUUGCAUUGCACUCAAGACACCUGAUUACUACUCAAAAAGUGUUAUUUUGUAGCUUGUAAUUAACUCUUUUAAACACUCUUGAGUAGUAAUUAUUACCUUUUAACUCAAGUGGCAUGUUAAGGACCCUUGCAAUCGUUUCUAAUCAAAUUGUGUUAAGUUUUGGUGUUUUUGAUAGCUUUUAGCUACACCAAAGCAAUCCAAGAAUGAGGGAGAGCUGUAUAUAGUUCAUGGAAAAGCUUUUGGAAGCUCAAAUUCAUGAAGAACCAAGCUUUGGAGCUCCAUAGCCUUUUCCAAAGUCGUUCAAAGUAUGCAAGGAAAGAACAAUGGAGAAGAGGAAAACAAAGUGAAGAAAACAGAGGACAGCAGCUGCAGUCUUCUUUCGCACUUUUGGAGCACUUCCCGAAGUCCAUUUUCUACAUUCUAUAUACCAUUUCAAAGCUCAGGAAGUCAAGAAUCCAACGCUUCAAACCGUGUACGAUUUGGAGCUGAAAUGAGGAAGAUAUGGCCUUCGCAAGACAACUGCAUCCAGCUGAAGGACAAAUUCGCAUCUUGCGAAUUUGGAACUCCAAUGUGCGAAAGUGAUUUUGCAACUUGCGAACUUGGAGCUCAACGUGCGAAAAUGGAUUCCAAGUUGCGAAAUCAACUUGCAAGAUUUUCGCAAGUCACCAUGCAACGUGCGAAAUCUACAUGCGAACUGGGAUAUUUGUGCACCGACUCUUUUAGAUAUUUUCUUCAGAUAUUUUUGUAUAAAUUUCCAUUCUUCUCCUUGUAAUCCACCAACCAUAAGAUUUCUUAGCUAGGAAGGUUGGAAAAACUUCUCUAUAUAUAUUCCCUUGCAUCCAUUGCAAUAGAUAUCGAUCAAUAGAUAGAAGUAUGUAAAAUCAUCGAUCAAUAUAUAGAUAUUUAAAUAUAUAGACUAUACAGAGCCUUGCUACGUUUUUCUCUCUUCUCCUGUUCUUCCCCAUUUCUAUUUUCUUAGUAGCCAAACAGCCUCUGAGGGCUUUUCCUCAGAGGAUGAUUGGGUAAAACUUUUAGUUUCUCAAUGUAUGGAUGUUAUAUGAUGACUUGGAUGCAAUCCCAUGGAAAUUUCUCGUACCUGGAAGGUAAGGUAGUCGUUUUUCAUUAAAGGUUCAUUAAUGCAAAGUUUGGUUUUGAUUUCCUUUGGACAACUUCCAACGGCCAAUACUUGAUAAGCUUUUGGAUUUCUAUCCAUUAGUUAUCUCCUACGAGCUAUUGGAAGGUGAGGUUUUCAAUUCCAAGUUUUGCAUUAAUCCGUUAGAACCAAUUUCAAUGGCCAUUGAAAGGUGAGUUUAUCACCUGGAAUGACUUUGAGUUGCCAAUAUUUGGUAAGCUUUUGGCUUUAGACCAUUAGUUAUCUCUUACGAGCCAUUCAAAGGAAGUCUAAGGUGAAUAACCAUUGAUGAAAUUCACUACCAUCUGUUUUGCCAUUUUAAAGGAUUAAAACUUGAUUUGCUAAAUCCAUACCGAUUCGGGAAGCAAGCAUCACCAUAGUUGCAACCCCAACGCGAGGAGCCUAUCCUGAGAUUUCCAAUUUGCAUAAGAGCCAGAGCAUAGCUAUCCUAUCUUUGAGAAACUUGUUUUUACACCCUUUCAUUUUAGUCUUUAAUGUUAGCUUAGAUUAGUUUAAAUCUUUCUAAAACAUUUACAUCUUCUUUUAAAGCUAACAUCCAUAAGAAAAUCACCUAUUUUCCUAAUUUGAAUAUCAUUUGUGAAGUGAAAACCCAUCCCAGUGAACGAUCCUAGAACCACUAUGCUAUAGUAGCUUGGCUACUUUAGUAAUAGUAUUUAAGGUAUAAAUUUUGUUGAUACGCCUUUAAAGCUAAGCUACCAUGAGUCGAAUCAAAUGGCGCCAUUGCCGGGGAAAGUGCCACAAACACAGUGAAGCAACCAUUAAGGGUAACUUGUGAUCUUCAUCACAAGUUUGGUGAGUUUUCUUAUAAUUUUUUUUAGUUUAGUUUUUAUUUAGUUAAAUUUUUUUUUUAUUCUCUUUUCUUUUAUUUUUGUUUUAAUUUCAAUUUGUGCAUUCCUUGUUGGAUUCGAGACCAAGAGGGAACCCUAGUACAAGUUGAAGAAAAGAGCCUUAGUUGAAUAUCAUUUUUUUUAUAAAUGGAAAUUCCACAUGAAGAUCAAAGCUCUCAUUAUGAUCAUGAGAAGGACAAAUUUGCAUACUUAUCCAUGAGGGAUCGGAUUGAAUUAGGGAAAAGGCAAGUUCAACAAAGCCAAUGGGGUAGUAAGUAUGCUUUGAAUGGAGAUGAUUCAUAUGAGCAUACGGUAGGGGAGUGCCCUACCAUUCCAACUAUGAGAGACAUGUACGGUUACCAAAGCUCUUACACCUCAAAGUGGAAUAACCAUCCCAACCUUACAACCCACCCUCAACCUCAACCAUCAAUGAGUACAUCUUCAUUGGAGCAAGCCAUUUUAAAGAUAAGAAAAGUCAUGGAGGACUUUGUAGGUGAGCAACAAAAGAUCAACUCUCAUCUUAAUGAAAAGAUUGAUAAUAUGGAGAGUUCAAUAAAUGUAAGAAUGGAGGGGGUUUAUAAUGAUCUAUCACUAAGGAUAGAAAAAGUUCAAGACUCCAUUGAGAAGCUCACCAAUCUCGACAUAGCAAGGGGGAAAAGGAAGCUUCCUCCUCAACCCCACCAUAACCUUCAAGGAACCAAUGCAAAAAGAUCAAGGAAAGUGUUGAAGAUCGACACUUUGGUGGGGGAUUGCUAUGACAACUCUAUGGACCAACCUUCCAUUGAAAAUCAUAAGGUUCAAGAUGAUAAAGGGUUACCUGAACCCUUUAAAGCAUCCACUUCUCCAGGGAAGAGAAGAGAAACGAAUUCCCUUGGACCAAAUGGGAAGGAUGCCAAUUUUGUUUGAGAUCUAGGGGGAAUUCAGCAUGAAGUGGGUGUGUGAGUGAGGAUGAGCUAAAUAGUUCAUCUUCUUUUUGGGGUACAUGCUAUCAGCUUCAUUUAAAUUCUAUGCUUUCUUUAAAAUUAUGCAUGUUUUAGUUUGAAUUCUUAGCUUUAAUUUAGUUUUAAUAUGUUUUUAAGAUGAGUUUUGAAGUGUUCAUGUAGGUAUGAUGCUUGCAAAAAUCGAAGUUAUGGUGAAAACAGGGGAGAAAAGCCAAAACAGAGCAAUUCACACCACCCCAUUUCGGCAACUGUUGGGAACAUUUCGAUCACUUCUCGAAGUUCAUUUCAUGCAUGAUUCGUACCCAGUCGGGUCUUUUAAUCAAAAAUAUUUAUAAAUCCUAUGACCUUAUACUGGCGUAGCAAAGCUACUAUAGUAUAGCAGUUCUAGGGUCGAACUCAGGGAUGGGUUUUCACUCUAUCAGUGACAGACUCUAAAUUAGAAAUUGAUUUUGAUGAUUUCCUUUAGCACAAACUUGAAAUUUAAAAGAAAAUAAAAUUGUUUUGAAAGUGGUGAUUGAAACUAAACUCACAUAGAACUAAGUAAAAAUAGAAGAAAGAAAGUCUCCCGGAGCUAAAGGUUGCUAGGCUCAAGUUCAGGAUGCAAAGUGGAAAAUUCCGGAUUUUUCUCCUCGCAUUGGGGAUUUAACCUAUAGUUAUUUCCCGAACCGGUAUAGGUUUGAAAAUGAAGAUUUAAUCCAUAAAAAGUCUAUAGAGAGGGUAGUCAAGGUCCAUUAAUGGCUUAAGACACUAUGGGUUAUCACCUUGAAUCACUUUCCACUGGCUCGUACAUGAUAACUAAUAGACUAAUAUGGAUCUAGCAAUAAGCAUCCACAGAGACUUGAAGCUUACCAUGUAUUGGCCAAUAAAAGCGAUUCUAAGGGAUUUAAAGCAAAACUUUGAAUUUAGAAACCAUUUAUGGACUCCAACUACCUGAAUUUAAUGCACGGAAACGUUCCACCUUUUAAUCUGGACUUUUCACCUAGCUUCCUUUAACUCAAGAAACUAUAAGUUUAGCCUCUCAUCCUCUGGGAAAACAUCCUCAGAGGCUAUUUGGAUUCCAAGAAAAUAGAAAAUAGUAGAGAGAAAAAGAAAGCAAAAGAGAUCUCUGUAUUUCACUAAGUGUAGAAUUUACAUCAGUUGGUCUCCUGGAGAAAGUUCCCCGAGAGUGUUUUUUCAGUGUUUACAAGAGAAUUUAUAUAGGAAGGUAAUUUUACCCUUCCUUGGAUACUUCCUAGCUAAGGAAUUACAUGAGUGGCUGAAUACAAGGAGAAAAUGGAAAUUUAGACACAAAAUAUCAGAAGAAAAAGAGUCGGCAAAAAUAUCCAAUUUUCGCACGUUGCAUUGUGACAUGCGAAAAUUUCGCAAGUUGAUUUUGCAACUUAGAAUUCACUUUUGCACGUUGAGAUUUAAGUUCACAAGUUGCAAAAUCAACUUCACAUGAUGGCUUCACCAUGACUACACAGCUGCUAUCCAUUUUCACAUUUCGCACGUUGGAGUUCCAAUUUCGCACAGUGCGAAAUUGUCCCUCAGCUUGAUGUAGUUGUCUUCUGAAGACCAUUUCUUCCUCAUUUCAGCUCCAAAUCGUACAUGGUUUGAAUAGUUGGAUUCUUGACUUUCUGAGCUUUGAAAUGGUAUAUAGAAUAUAGAAAAUGGACUUCGGGAAGUGCUCCAAAAGUGCGAUGAAAGACUGCAGCUGUGUCCCCUGUUUUCAUCACCCUGUUUUCCUCUUCUCCAUUGUUCUUUCCUUGCAUACUUUGAACGACUAAGGCAAAGGAUUAUGAGGCUCCAAAUCUUGGUUUCUUCAUAAAUUUGAGCUUCCAAAAGCUUUGCCAUGAAUUAUAUAUAGCUCUCCCUCAUUCUUAAAUUGCUUUGGUGAGCAUAAAGCUAUCAAAAAGCACCAAAACUUAACACAAUUUGAUUAGAAACGAUUGCAAGGGUCCCUAACAUGCUAAUUGAGUUAAAAGGUAAUAAUUACUACUCAAGGGUGCUUAAAAGAGCUAAUAACAAGCUACAAAAUAGCAUGUUUUGAGUAGUAAUCACUCCCCCCAACCGACAUAUUGCUAGUCCCUUAGCAAUGAAGGAGAGAAAAACUAAGCAAACAUAAUAAUAUACAUAAAAGAGGUCAUGCAAAUCGUUCCAAAAAAUAAUUGAGUGGCAUGACUGAUAUCAAAACACAUCUCAUAUGGUGAACUAAAGAUAUGAAGAUUCAAAAUAGAAUAGGAGAUGUCAAAACUAAAACUUAAACAAAAAGUACAAAGAGUGGAGAUUAUGCAAUUAAGUAUCAAAAGAAUCUCUACUCUCAAGGUUCCAAAUCAAACUCUUCCAUAAUGAGCUAAGUGUUAAUGAGAUUAGCUUCUGGAUAUAGUAUGUACAACUAUCCUCUCCCUCCAACCUAAGCUUUUCUCGAACAUUGGCAAAAUUAACUAACUCUUAAUAGGUUAGGAACGCACCUUCUUAUUCACAAUUCUUUUUACUCACUAAACUUAACCAAUUCACCUAUGUAGCAAGCAGAGGAUCAAUGACUCCCUACCAAUCAAGGUUUAGGGCAUCUGGUUUUAAAGGCUUUCGCCACCCCUUCGGAUCAUGCUUAGGUUUCAAGGAAAGAAUAGAAGCUUAUCCUCUUUUUUUUUUUUCAAAGACUCAUUGGCUUUUAUGAGGUGUCCCAACACUAUUAACGAGAGGUUAAGUAAUGAACCAAGUCAAAAUUUUCCUAAGCUUAGAAGGUGAGAAAGUUUUUCAUUAUAUAUCCGAGAUCUAAUGUGCACAGUGUGUGUAAAGCUUGAAAUGGAAGAAGAAAGUUCGAAAUCAAAGAGGCUUCAAUAGAUUAUCAACUUUGAAAGCAUAAAACAAACUCUAAGACUUAAUUAAUUAAGUUAAAACUCGACUUAUCCUAUUUUAUUUUUGAGAAAUUAUCUUUAACAACCAUAGAGAAUGAUUCAAAAAAACUUUUAGAAAAUUUAAAAAUUAAGCAAAAAUCAACUAAAUUACAAAAAUAACUUAGCAUUAGUACAAAACUUCCUUUCUCAACUCCCCCCCCCCCCCCCAACCAAGCUAAACAUUGUCCUCAAUGUUUAAAGAGUGAUUUAAAAGAAAAGGGAGGAAGUGGUACCUCCUGUGGUUCAAAGUCUGAGUGUAUAGGAGGUAUGGAAUACCUUAAACCACAUGUUCCAAAGACAAAAGAGUAAUGAGAAAAGGAAAUAUAAUAAAAAAAAGAUAUAUAUAUAUAUAUAUAUAUAUAUAUAUAUUACUUGGAAAAGAAUUAUACAAUGCAUGAUGUUCAAGUAAUAUAUCCAAUCCCAAUUUAUAAAACAUGAAAAAGAUGGGAUUUACAAGUCUAAUAUAAAAAGCAAGUAAAAAUAUAAAAAGACCAGAUAGUAGUGGGAUCAUGUGAUGGCUCUGCUCUGAUCUCCUCAGCUGAUAUGGGCUGCUCAGCUGGUAUGGUCUCCUCAUCUGGCACUAGAGGCUCGGAUGGUGCAGAUCUAUCAUGCCCAAGAGGUGUCUGGAUACUCAGAUGCUGCUGGAUCUGAUGAAGGAUCGUGGUAUGUUGGGCCUGAGUAGCAAUGAUCUGAUCCUGGUGUGCACGAAUAGUGGCCAUCUGGUAGAUAAUAGAAUCCUGAGCAGUGCUCAGUGUCUGCAAUGAAUGUACUAAGCCUCUGAAUUCCGUAAGAGAAACGGUGACAGUGGGCUCAGAUGAAGGAGGAGGUGCUGGUGUAGCUGGCAUGACUGGUGGAGCACCCUGAGUGAGAGGAGAAGUAGGAUGUAUAGCCUCAGGCAUAUGCACUGAGGUGUGUGCUGCAGGGGCAGGAGGUGUGGUGUCUGUGAGAAUCUCAUCCUGCUGGGCCUGAGUCAGCUGCUCAUCUUGGGGUAGCUCUGGAGGUGGGGGCACAGCUGGAGGUUCAUGAGGUGGAGGCUUAGCUGGGGCUCCCUGAGGUGGAGGCACAGCUGGAGCUCCCUGAGGUGCAAAGUAGGCUACCAAGUGAUGCCAUUUGUCAAGAGAGAAGUCCUCUCGGCAAUGGCGGCGCCUCUCAAGGCGGGGCUCUUCAGGAUAGCCCAGGUGCUCUAAAAUCUGACAGAGGAGCCUCGGAAAUAAUAAUGGGAUGCCAUCUGCCCUCUGAAGCUUUUUCUGAUGGACUUUCUCUUCAAAAUGAAGAAGAGAAGUCAUAAUCAAAUGAUGAGGGCCGAAGUAAUAGCCCUCAGAAAUCCUAAAUAAUGCCUCAAGUAUAGUUCCUCUCCUCUGAACUUUAUGCUGAAGUGGGAAGAUGUUGGCACGCAGGAGCACAUCAAUGAGGAGCAUCCCAGAUGGAAGCUCUCUCCUAGUCAACACUGAGGCUGUAGAAGUCCCCCUGGACAAGAUACGGACCAUGUUGCUCUGAGAGAAUGAGGACCACUCCCUGAAGUCUGCCUGAAUCACAGGCUCAUAAGGUAUACGGAGGGCCUCAGCAAUGUGGCGAGCUCCAAUGGCACCCUGGCGUCCAUCUAUGGUGAAUUGGAUGAGAGUAGGAUUGCGGAGGCCGCGAGUAGUCAUAGAUUGAUAAAAAUCUAGAACUACUCUGGGAUAAUAGAAUUGCCUAGGAGUGAGAAGAUGCUCCAUGUGAUACCUCUGCGGCAAUCAGAAUGAGUCUCUGAGCUCUGGCUGCUGUCUGAGGGCCUCGAUAUCAAAGUAGAUCUCGGAGUGAAAGGAUCGAGCUCUGCAAUCCAGAUUGCCCUCUAUAGGCGGUCCGGCGAUCAUGGGACGCCUGAUAACGGUCUCGAGAGGAAUCGCCACAGGAAUCUGAGAUUCCUCUGUAGGAGGCUCUGCCUGAGGCGCAUGGGAUGGCUCUCCAGGUGCUGAGACUUUGGUUCUCUUUGCAGGGGGCCGAGAAGCAGGCCUCCUAGUGGGGUAUCGGCGCUGAGAAGGGGUUCCCCCCUCAGAUGGGGGAAUGGCCAGGUCCUGAACAGGUGGCGAAGCGGCGCCUCCCAUGUUGGAUUGAUGUGGUCGAGGCGUCGGUGAUGAUGGGGAGGCGGAAAGGCCUCCUCUAGUCUUUGGCAUGGCCGAAAUGGAGUGAGAUGGCUGUUCGGGAAUUUCCAGAAGCUCUCAGCUAGUGCGCGGGUAGUCUUUUCAGUCCCUGGGCUUCAAGGGUUUAUAUAGGGAUGGGGUUUGGGGGGGUUUUGAUGUUUAAAAAUUUCCAAGGCAACCGAAAAGUCGUUUUUGGACGUUAGGCACAAUUUCGGGGGUAAAAUUUUAGUUUAAAAGUCAGUUUGAAAUUUUUGAGACUUAAAAUUUUACUGUGCGAAAUUUUCGCACCUUGGAUUAGAAAUUUCGCACCUUGGAUUGAGGUGUGCGAAAUUGCCACCCUUUGGACUGAGGAAUUCGCACCUUGGAUAGCAUUUCGCACUCAAUUUCGCACCGUGCGAAAAUUUCGCACCUUGUUUCGCACGGUGCGAAAUUUGGCUUGAGGUGUGCGAAAAUGGCACUCGUGUGCCAGGAGGGGAUUUCGCAUGGUGCAAAAAUUUUCGCACCUUGAACAGUGGUGUGCGAAAAUUACAUUUAGGGAAUUCGCACUUUGAAUACUGUUUUCGCACCUUGGAUUGAGGUGUGCGAAAUUCCCACCCUUUGGACUGAGGAAUUCGCACCUUGAUUUCCAUCGUGCGAAAAUUUCGCACCUUGAGUUGAGGUGUGCGAAAUUCCCUUUGUUUUGCUCCCCUGUUUUGCUUUUGAAGAGUUCUCCAUAUUUUUCUUGAUUUUUUUCUGAAAUUUAUCAUCAAAAUUGACUUGAAUUAAGACAAAAUAAACUAAGUUUGAGCAAGAAUUAUAAUCAAAAGAAAUAAAAAUAAUGAUAUAACUAUAAAACUAAAACAAAAAAUUCAUGGACUUAUAUAGUCCAUGAGACCCUGCUUUCCCUCAGAGUUGCUGUGGUUCAAGGAGGUUGAUCUCCUCCUUGUCUGUACUGUAAGGCUCUAUGAAUGGCUUGAGACGAUGGCCAUUGACUUUGAAGGUUUGAUUGCCUGUGGGAUUGAAUACUUCCACCACUCCGUUGGGGUGCACUUUAUGAAUUAUGAAAGGACCCGUCCACCUGGAUUUCAAUUUUCCUGGAAAAAGAUGAAGUUUAGAAUCAUAAAGCAAAACUCUUUGUCCCUUGGUCAAAUUCUUCUGAUUUACCAAUUGAUCAUGCCAUUUUUUCAAUCUUGCUUUGGCAAUUUUUGAAUUGAGGUAUGCAUCAUUCCUCAUUUCCUCCAAUUCAUUCAAAUCCAAACAUCUCUUUAACCCGGCUCUUAUCAAAUCCAUGUUGAGCUUUUUGAUUGCCCACCAUGCUUUAUAUUCAAUCUCUACUGGAAGAUGACACGCUUUGCCAUAAACAAGGCGAUAGGGAGACAUUCCAAGAAUGGUCUUGUAAGCGGUCCUAUAAGCCCAUAAGGAAUCCAGGAGCUUAAUAGACCAAUCCUUUCUAUUCACAUUCACCACCUUCAUCAAUAUAUUCUUGAUCUCACGGUUGGCUAACUCAACUUGGCCACUUGUUUGAGGGUGAUAAGGUGUAGCUACCUUGUGCUUAACCCCAUACUUGGCUAGAAGAGUCUCAAAAGGUUUAUUGCAAAAGUGGGUUCCCCCAUCACUUAUAAUGGCCUUUGGCACUCCAAAUCUUGCAAAGAUGUUGUCCUUGAGGAAUUUAAGAACCACUUUAUGAUCAUUGCUCCUACAUGGGAUUGCUUCUACCCACUUAGAGACAUAAUCCACUCCCACCAAAAUGUAGGAAUGUCCAAACGACAUUGGAAAUAGUCUCAUGAAGUUUAUCCCCCAAACAUCAAAGAUAUCCACUAUUAGGAUGGGGUUCAAGGGCAUCAUAUUUCGGCGUGUUAGCUUACCAAGCCUUUGACACCGAUCACAUCCCUUGCACAUAGAGUGGGCAUCCUUGAAAAGAGAGGGCCACCAGAAGCCUGAUUGGAUCACUUUCAUAGCUGUUUUCUAGGAGGCAAAAUGACCUCCACAUGCACUAUCAUGGCAAUGGGAAAGAAUUCCCGAUUGCUCUUGCUCAGGAACACAUUUCCUUAUAAUUUGAUCCACACAAUAUUUGAAGAGAAAAGGCUCCUCCCAAUAAUAGGCAUGGAUCUUGGCAAAGAAAUGCCUCUUAUCUUGGGCACUCCACUCACUUGGUACUUCUCCAGUAACCAAAAAGUUUGCAAUGUGAGAAUACCAUGGAGUUACAUCUACUGACAUGAGAGACUCCUCAGGGAAGUCAUCAUUGAUAGGCAGACCAUGUGAGUCAUGUGCUAUCACAAGUCUGGACAAGUGGUCAGCUACCACAUUUUCUACCCCCUUUUUAUCCCGGAUUUGGAGAUUGAAUUCUUGGAGCAAAAGAAUCCAUCUUAUCAAUCUUGCCUUGGCAUCUUGCUUGGUUAGCAAGUAUUUCAAAGCAGAAUGGUCAGUGAACACCACUAUAGAGGACCCUACCAAAUAAGCACGAAACUUAUCUAAGGCAAAAACUACUGCCAACAACUCCUUCUCAGUGGUUGUGUAGUUCCUUUGAGCCUCAUUCAAAGUUUUGCUUGCAUAAUAAAUCACAUAGGGCUUUCCAUCUUCUCUUUGCCCCAAAACAGCCCCCAUAGCAAGAUCACUUGAAUCGCACAUUACCUCAAAAGGUAAUUUCCAAUUUGGGGCUCUGACUAUUGGUGCAGUUGUGAGGAAUUGUUUCAAUUCCUCAAAACUCCUCUGACACUUCUCAUCCCACACAAACUUGGCAUCCUUUACCAAGAGUUCACAAAGAGGUUUUGAGAUUUUUGAGAAAUCCUUAAUGAACCUCCUAUAGAACCCGGCAUGUCCUAGGAAUUGCCUAAUUCCUUUAACAUUUGUGGGAGGUGGCAACUUAACAAUUAGCUCCACCUUUGCCUUAUCUACCUCAAUGCCAUUCUUGGAGAUGAUAUGUCCUAAGACAAUUCCUUGUUGUACCAUAAAAUGGCACUUCUCCCAAUUUAGCACUAGGUCUUUCUCAAUACAUCUGUGGAGAACAGCCUCUAAAUGCAACAAACACUCCUCAUAAGAACUUCCAUAUACAGUGAUGUCAUCCAUGAAAACUUCCAUGAUGCGUUCCACCAUAUCACUGAAGAUGCUUAGCAUACAUCUUUGGAAAGUUGCAGGAGCAUUACAUAGACCAAAGGGCAUUCUCCUAUAUGCAAAAGUACCAAAAGGACAAGUGAAGGUUGUCUUUUCUUGAUCUUCCAAAUCAAUUUCUAUUUGGAAGUACCCUGAAUAACCAUCUAGAAAACAGUAGAAAGGGUGUCCUGAGACUCUCUCAAGGACUUGGUCCAUGAAAGGCAAUGGAAAAUGGUCCUUCCUAGUCACUGAAUUCAACCUCCUAUAGUCUAUACACACCCUCUAUCCUGAGGUAGGACGUGUAGAGACUUCCUCCCCUUUCUCAUUCUGGAUUACAGUAAUUCCAGAUUUCUUUAGGACUACUUGGGUGGGACUCACCCACAAGCUGUCUGAAAUGGGAUAUAUGAUCCCAGCUUGAAGUAGCUUAAGAACUUCACCCCUCACCACCUCUUGCAUGUGAGGAUUCAGUCUCCUCUGGGGUUGCCUCACUGGUUUUGCAUCCUCUUCCAUAUAGAUAUGGUGGGUGCAGACCAAAGGGCUAAUCCCUUUCAGAUCAGAAAUUUGUCAUCCAAUGGCUUUCUUGCAUUUUCUGAGGACUCCUAAAAGACAAUCCUCUUGAUCACUAGUGAGAGUUGAGGAAACCACCACUGGACAUUUCUCAUCAUCCUCCAAGUAUGCAUACUUCAAAUCCACGGAAGUAGCUUUAAAAUAAGCUUUGGAGGGUCAUCCACAGCAACUCCUUGUGAGUCUUCCUGGUUGAACAGUGUUAAGAUCUUUUCCCGUCUCCUCCAAGGAGACAUAAUGGCUAGCACAUCAGAGGGUUCAGGGAACCCAUCUUCAAGCGCUUCCAGGCUUUCAUUCAAGCUCUCCUCUAAAUUCUUGUCACAGUGCUCUUCAACCAAAGUGUUGAUCAAGCACACCUCCUCAAAUCCUUCCUCCUCUUCAGGGUGAAGAUGCCUCUUACAAAGGUGGAAUAUGUUUAAUUCCAAUGUCAUGUUUCCAAAUGUGAGCUGCAUCACCCCAUUCCUACAAUUAAUGAUAGCAUUGGAGGUAGCUAGGAAAGGCCUCCCUAGGAUGAUUGGUACAUAAUUUUCUUCCUUGAUAGUGGAAUCAGUAUCAAGUACCACAAAAUCCACAGGAUAGUAGAAUUUGUCCACUUGAACUAGAACAUCCUCUAUCACCCCUCUUAGGAUUUUGACCGACCUAUCAGCUAAGGAGAGGGUCAUGGUUGUGGGCUUCAAUCCUCCAAGUCCCAGUUGCUUAUACACAGAGUAUGGGAGCAAAUUCACACUUGCCCCCAAGUCUAGUAAAGCUUUCUCCACAUGUGUCCCUCCAAUGUUAACUGAUAUGGUGGGACAUCCCGGAUCUUUAUACUUAACUGGGGACUUACUCUGAAUGAUAGCACUCACUUGCUCAGUGAGGAAUGCAUUCUUUGUCACUUGUAACCCUCUCUUGACUGUGCACAAGUCCUUUAGAAACUUUGCAUAUGUGGGGACUUGCUUGAUCAUAUCAAGUAAGGGUAUAUUCACCUUCACUUGUCUCAAAACCUCAAGAAUUUCUGAUGGAUUCUUGAUUUCUUUCUUUCCAUGUAAAGCUUGAGGAAAAGGGGGAGGCAUAUGUUUCUUCAUCAUAUCCUCCUUAAUCACUAUCCCUGGUUCUUCUUCAAUGCUUGAUUUGGAUGCACUUUUCUUCCCACUCUUCUCCUCUUGGCUAUUGCUCUCUUUAAUCAAGGGUCUCUUUGACAUGAGUUCUUCAUCAUGCCCCACGUUAGGCAAGGGUUGAUCAACCUCCUUCCCACUCCUCAAAGUGAUUACAGCUUUGACCUCUCUCAAAUUUGAAGACUCACCAUCUUGGGUUUCAACUUCAUGAACACCCUUGGGAUUUUGGCUUGGUUGAGAGGGAAACUUUCCCUUCUCAUUCACUGUGUUGAGGUUGGUAAGUCUAGAGAUGGAGUACUGAAUAUUAACUAUCUUCUGAGAUAGAUCAUUUUGCAUCCCCUCCAUUCUCUUAAUUUGAGAACUCUCAACGUUUUCAAUCUUUUGAUGCAAUUGGGAGUUAAUUGCCUUUUGUUCACCCACAAAGUCACCUAUGACUUUACUCAGGUUCACAAUGGCUUGCUCCACUGUAGAAGUUUGUUGAGGUGCUUGGGUUUGGCCUUGUGGUUGGUAUGGAGGUGGCCUUGGUUUCCAAGAAAAAUUUGGGUGGUUUCUCCAGCUUGAAUUAUAGGUGUUACCAUAGGAUGCACUGUUGUUGGGCCUAAAUUGCCCCACAACAUUUACUUGAUCACCUAACAUUUCUCUCACUGCUGGCAUGGUUGGGCACUCAUCUACCACAUGAUCACAUGAUUGGCAAAUGGUGCAUGGCAUGACAUGGACUUGGGUAUCAGAAAUGGCUUGGACUUCAUGCAUCUUUUUCAACUCAAGUUCUUCUAACCUCCUAGCUAAUGUUGCCACUUUAGCUUUCAUGUCCACAUCUUCACUCAACAUGUACAUUCCAGCUUUUGGAUUUUGGGUUUGUUGAGAGGGAAACUUUCCUUUCUCUCUUGAGUUGGGCUCAUCCCAGCCUCUUGACACCUCAGCCACAUAACUUAAAAAGUCCAUGGCUUCUUCAGGAUUCUUACUCAUAAAAUCUCCCCCACACAUGGUUUCAAGAAUUUGCUUCAUGGAAGAAGACAUUCCAUCAUAAAAAUAGCUCACUAAGAGCCAUGUAUCAAAACCAUGAUGAGGACAAGCAUUGAUGGCCUUCAUAUACCUUUCCCAACACUCAUGGAACUUCUCAUUUUCUUUUGCAGAAAAGUUUGAGAUUUGUCUCUUCAACCCAUUGGUCCUAUGGGUGGGGAAAUUUUUUUUCAAAAACUCGGCCUGAAGAUCAACCCAAUUCCUUAUGCUCCUUGGCCUUAAAGAAUUAAGCCAUAUUUUUGCCUUGUCCUUCAAAGUGAAAGGGAAUAGCUUGAGUCUCAUCAAGUCUAUUGAAGCUCCUCCCUCUCUAAAGGUAUUACACACCUCCUCAAACUCCUUGAUGUGAGCAUAUGGAUUCUCACUCUCCAUUCCAUGGAAGUUUGGUAGGAGGGGCACAAUAUGGGGCCUUAUAACCAACUGCUCAAGAGGGGGUAGGAUGCAUGAGGGUGCACUCAUCCUUGGCGGAUGCAUUCUAUCCCUCAUGGAUAGAUAUGCAUUGGGAUUACCCCCUUGACCUUGUUGAGAAUUCUGAUCCUCUGGUGGAGGGUCCAUGAUAUUUACACAGAUAUCCAACUCUGUGUCUUGAGGAUUCUCAAUCCUUACUAAUCUUCCCUCUUGGUCCCUAAUCCAAUAGGGCAUGCACAAGUUACAAUACCUGUAAUAAUAAUAAAAACAACAAAAACAAAAACAAAAGAAAACUAAAAAAAAAGGUUAAAGUUAGGAAGAAAACGAAAAUAAACUUAACAAAAGGAAAAAUGAAAGGAAAUGAAGUUAGUGAAAAAGGAAUUCACCAAACUUGUGAUGGAAAUCACAAGUAGCCUCUAAAAGGUUGCAUUACUGUAUUGUGGCACCAUCCCCGGCAACGGCGCCAUUUGAUUCGUACCCAGUCGGGUCUUUUAAUCAAAAAUAUUUAUAAAUCCUAUGACCUUAUACUGGCGUAGCAAAGCUACUAUAGUAUAGCAGUUCUAGGGUCGAACUCAGGGAUGGGUUUUCACUCUAUCAGUGACAGACUCUAAAUUAGAAAUUGAUUCUGAUGAUUUCCUUUAGCACAAACUUGAAAUUUAAAAGAAAAUAAAAUUGUUUUGAAAGUGGUGAUUGAAACUAAACUCACAUAGAACUAAGUAAAAAUAGAAGAAAGAAAGUCUCCCGGAGCUAAAGGUUGCUAGGCUCAAGUUCAGGAUGCAAAGUGGAAAAUUCCGGAUUUUUCUCCUCGCAUUGGGGAUUUAACCUAUAGUUAUUUCCCGAACCGGUAUAGGUUUGACAAUGAAGAUUUAAUCCAUAAAAAGUCUAUAGAGAUUGUAGUCAAGGUCCAUUAAUGGCUUAAGACACUAUGGGUUAUCACCUUGAAUCACUUUCCACUGGCUCGUACAUGAUAACUAAUAGACUGAUAUGGAUCUAGCAAUAAGCAUCCACAGAGACUUGAAGCUUACCAUGUAUUGGCCAAUAAAAGCGAUUCUAAGGGAUUUAAAGCAAAACUUUGAAUUUAGAAACCAUUUAUGGACUCUAACUACCUGAAUUUAAUGCACGGAAACGUUCCACCUUUUAAUCUGGACUUUUCACCUAGCUUCCUUUAACUCAAGAAACUAUAAGUUUAGCCUCUCAUCCUCUGGGAAAACAUCCUCAGAGGCUGUUUGGCUUCCAAGAAAAUAGAAAAUAGUAGAGAGAAAAAGAAAGCAAAAGAGAUCUCUGCAUUUCACUAAGUGUAGAAUUUACAUCAGUUGGUCUCCUGGAGAAAGUUCCCCGAGAGUGUUUUUUCAGUGUUUACAAGAGAAUUUAUAUAGGAAGGUAAUUUUACCCUUCCAUGGAUACUUCCUAGCUAAGGAAUUACAUGAGUGGCUGAAUACAAGGAGAAAAUGGAAAUUUAGACACAAAAAUAUCAGAAGAAAAAGAGUCGGCAAAAAUAUCCAAUUUUCGCACGUUGCAUUGUGACAUGCGAAAAUUUCGCAAGUUGAUUUUGCAACUUAGAAUUCACUUUUGCACGUUGAGAUUUAAGUUCACAAGUUGCAAAAUCAACUUCACAUGCUGGCUUCACCAUGACUACACAGCUGCUAUCCAUUUUUACAUUUCGCACGUUGGAGUUCCAAUUUCGCACAGUGCGAAAUUGUCCCUCAGCUUGAUGUAGUUGUCUUCCGAAGGCCAUAUCUUCUUCAUUUCAGCUCCAAAUCAUACAUGGUUUGAAUCGUUGGAUUCUUGACUUUCUGAGCUUUGAAAUGGUAUAUAGAAUGUAGAAAAUGGACUUCGGGAAGUGCUCGAAAAGUGCGAUGAAAGACUGCAGCUGUGUCCCCUAUUUUCAUCACCCUGUUUUCCUCUCUCCAUUGUUCUUUCCUUGCAUACUUUGAACGACUAAGGCAAAGGAUUAUGAGGCUCCAAAGCUUGGUUUCUUCAUAAAUUUGAGCUUCCAAAAGCUUUGCCAUGAAUUAUAUAUAGCUCUCCCUCAUUCUUAAAUUGCUUUGGUGAGCAUAAAGCUAUCAAAAAGCACCAAAACUUAACACAAUUUGAUUAGAAACGCUUGCAAGGGUCCCUAACAUGCUAAUUGAGUUAAAAGGUAAUAAUUACUACUCAAGGGUGCUUAAAAGAGCUAAUAACAAGCUACAAAAUAGCAUGUUUUGAGUAGUAAUCAAUGCAUACUAUAUCUUGUUUCAAAGAUUAGGAAGUCAGGAGUCCAACGCUUCAAACGGUGUCCAAAUUGGAGUUGAAACGAAAAAGUUAUGGUCAUUGCAAGAAAACUGGACCGAGCUGAGCGGGAAUUUCGCACACCUCAAUCCAAGGUGUGAAAAUUUUCGCACCGUGCGAAACCACCUCCUGGCACACGAGUGCCAUUUCGCACACCUCAAGGCAAUUUUCGCACGGUGCGAAUCAAGGUGCGAAAAUUUCACACACCACUAUUCAAGGUGCGAAAUUCAUUCUAAGGUGCGAAAUUCUCAAUCCAAGGUGCGAAUUCUCUAAACAUCAAUUUUGCACACCACAAUCCAAGGUGCGAAAAUUUUCGUACCGUGCGAAACACUCUUCUGGAACACGAGUGCCAUUUCGCACACCCCAAGCCAAUUUUCGCACCGUGCGAAACAAGGUGCGAAAAUUUCGCACACCACAAUUCAAGGUGCGAAAUUCAGUCCAACGUGCGAAUUCGAGUGCGAAAAUUUCACUACUGUUGGACGCAUUUUUGAAGCACUUCCUGGAGCUCAAAUUAUACAUAUGAUAUGUCAUUUUGAAGCUUGGGAAGUAAGGAAUCCAGUGCUUCAAACGGUAAAUUAUUUGGAUUUGAAAUGAAGAAGUUAUGGUCGUUUGAAGACGACUAUGCAAAGUUGAAUGGAAAUGUUGUAGCCGCACCAAAUUUCGCUACUGUUAGACACGUUUUUGAAGCACUUCCUGGAGCUAAAAUUAUGCAUGCCAUAUAUCAUUUUAAAUCUUGGGAAGUCAGGAAUCCAAUGCUUCAAACGGUACAUGAUUUGGAUUUGAAACGAAUAAGUUAUGGCCAUUAGAAGACAGACUACGCAAAGCUGUGCGAAAAUUUCGCACCUUGAAAUCCAAAGUGCGAAAAAUCCUUUCCAAGGUGCGAAAAUUUUUUUAAAGUGCGAAAAUGACCAACUAUCUUUUAAACCCAUUUUUAAACACCCAAGACUCUGUUUUUCAUUCCUAAAAGCCAUUUUGACUUCCAAAAAGAGUUUUUAAACGUGUGACCAUCCAAAUUCCGCCCCUCCCUCUCUAUUUGAAGCCUCCGGAACAUGCAUUAGAGGAGAGAAUACCCCCAUGCACCCUGAGAUCACACAUGAAGCCUCUCAUUCCAUUUCUUACCUCCUAAAACCAUCAAAGCUCAUAGCUCCAACUGAGAGCUCCAGCAGAGGAGACUAUGCCACCUAUGGAGACUACCAGAGCAGAGGUCAAUGUCCUGACCCAACCCAUUCAGAAGACCACCAUAUCUCCACAGGACCCUACCACUACUUGAUCAUCUCUUUAAUUUUUGUAUUUACUUAUUAUAUUAGUAUAGAUAAUUCCAUGUUUUGAUGUUUUAUAUUCUGGGAUUGGAUGUAUUGCAUGAUCAUAUAUUAUAUUCUAUUUUCUCAGAUUAAUAUAUAGACAUCAUUUUUGUUUAAACUUGACAUUUUUCUAUUUCCUCUACUCACUGAAUCUUUUGUUUUUGUUUUUUUGAAACAUGUGGUUUCUCCUAUACAACUCAGACUCCAUGCCACUCAGGAGGUACCACUUCCUCCCUUUAUUUUUUUCAAUCGCUCUUGAAACAUUGAGGACAAUGUUCAGCUUGGUUGGGGGGAGAGUUGAGGAAGGAAGUUUUGUUAUUAAUGCUAAGUUAUUUUGGUAAUUUAGUUGCUUUAUGCUUAAUUUUUAAAAUUUUUUAAAAUUUUUAAUCUACUCUCCAUGGUUAUUAAGGAAAAAAUUUCAAAAUGAAAUGGGAGAAAUUAAAUUUUUGUCUUUUUACUUGAAACUUAGAGUUUGUAUUAUGUUUAUUAAAGUUGAUGAAUUAUUGAACUCCUAUUGAUUUCAACCUUAUUUCUUCCACUUUAAGCUUAUCACACACCGUGCACACUUUAAGAUGAAAAACUAUUUUCCCCCUUGACUUAGGAAAAUUUAGACUUGGUACCUUUGACCUCAUUUUAAUAGUGUUGAGACACCUUAUAAAAGGCCAAUGAGCCUUUGGAAAAAAAAAAUGUUUUACUUGCCUUGAAACCCGAGCAAGGUCUAAGGGGUAUAUGGUGAAAAUCUUUAAAACCUGGUGCCCUAAGCCUUCAAUGGUUGGGAGUCACCGACCUCAAUGCUCGUUACAUGGGUGAAUAGGUGGAGUUUAACAUAUUGUAUGUGCUUGGGUAUUAAAAAUUCAUUCUCAAAAGUCCAGGGUGAAAUCCGAGGAGUUAGUGGUUGAAAAAUCCUUAAAGCUUGAUGCCCUAAACCUUGAUUGGUUGGGAGUCAUCGAUGGACCCCCGUUACAUGGACAAUUUAGAAAAGAAUGCCUUUAAGCUUUGCACUCCUACAAGAAAAAUUUGUGAAAGAAAAGAGGUGCGUUCUUAGCCUAUUGGAGGUUGAUUAGUUUGCUAAGCUUUGAAAAGAACUAGGUUGAGGAGAGAGAUUAGUUUGACAUACUAUAUCCGGAAACUAAUAAAUAACACAUAGAUUUUUGUGGAAGAGUAAGGAUUGGACCUUUGGGAGUGGAAAUUAUUUUGAAGCUUAAAUUUGCAUAAUGCCUACUCUUUAUGAAUUGUGACUAGGCAAAUUAUUUGAUAGCUCCUAUUGAAGUUUGAGUUUUAUUUCUUUCAUGUUCCAUGUGAGAGUUUGAUCAGUCAUGCCACUUAAACAUUUUUUGGAGUGAUCAACAUGAUUUUGUAAAUUUAUUACUUUUUUCUCUCCUUCAUUGCUAAGGGACUAGCAAUAUGUCGGUUGGGGGGAGUGAUUACUACUCAAAAAGUGCUAUUUUGUAGCUUGUAAUUAACUCUUUUAAACUCUCUUGAGUAGUAAUUAUUACCUUUUAACUCAAGUGGCAUGUUAAGGACCCUUGCAAUCGUUUCUAAUCAAAUUGUGUUAAGUUUUGGUGUUUUUGAUAGCUUUUAGCUACACCAAAGCAAUCCAAGAAUGAGGGAGAGCUGUAUAUAGUUCAUGGCAAAGCUUUUGGAAGCUCAAAUUCAUGAAGAACCAAGCUUUGGAGCUCCAUAGCCUUUGCCAAAGUCGUUCAAAGUAUGCAAGGAAAGAACAAUGGAGAAGAGGAAAACAGAGUGAAGAAAACAGAUGACAGCAGCUGCAGUCUUCUUUCGCACUUUUGGAGCACUUUCCGAAGUCCAUUUUCUACAUGCUAUAUACCAUUUCAAAGCUCAGGAAGUCAAAAAUCCAACGCUUCAAACCGUGUACGAUUUGGAGCUGAAAUAAGGAAGAUAUGGCCUUCUCAAGACAACUGCAUCCAGCUGAAGGACAAAUUCGCAUAUUGCGAAUUUGGAACUCCAACGUGCGAAAGUGAUUUUGCAACUUGCGAACUUGGAGCUCAACGUGCAAAAAUGGAUUCCAAGUUGCGAAAUGAACUUGCGAGAUUUUAGCAAGUCACCAUGCAACGUGCGAAAUCUACAUGCGAACUGGGAUAUUUGUGCACCGACUCUUUUAGAUCUUUUCUUCAGAUAUUUUUGUAUAAAUUUCCAUUCUUCUCCUUGUAAUCCACCAACCAUAAGAUUUCUUAGCUAGGAAGGUUGGAAAAACUUCUCUAUAUAUAUUCUCUUGCAUCCAUUGUAAUAGAUAUCGAUCAAUAGAUAGAAGUAUGGAAAAUCAUCGAUCAAUAUAUAGAUAUUUAAAUAUAUAGACUAUACAGAGCCUUGCUCUGUUUUUCUCUCUUCUCCUGUUCUUCCCCAUUUCUAUUUUCUUAGUAGCCAAACAGCCUCUGAGGGCUUUUCCUCAGAGGAUGAUUGGCUAAAACUUUUAGUUUCUCAAAGUAUGGAUGUUAUGUGAUGACUUGGAUGCAAUCCCAUGGAAAUUUCUCGCACCUGGAAGGUAAGGUAGUCGUUUUUCAUUAAAGGUUCAUUAAUGCAAAGUUUGGUUUUUAUUUCCUUUGGAAAACUUCCAAUGGCCAAUACUUGAUAAGCUUUUGGAUUUCUAUCCAUUAGUUAUCUCCUACGAGCUAUUGGAAGGUGAGGUUUUCAAUUCCAAGUUUUGCAUUAAUCCGUUAGAACCAAUUUCAAUGGCCAUUGAAAGGUGAGUUUAUCACCUGGAAUGACUUUGAGUUGCCAAUAUUUGGUAAGCUUUUGGCUUUAGACCAUUAGUUAUCUCUUACGAGCCAUUCAAAGGAAGUCUAAGGUGAAUAACCAUUGAUGAAAUUCACUACCAUCUGUUUUGCCAUUUUAAAGGAUUAAAACUUGAUUUGCUAAAUCCAUACCGGUUCGGGAAGCAAGCAUCACCAUAGUUGCAACCCCAACGCGAGGAGCCUAUCCUGAGAUUUCCAAUUUGCAUAAGAGCCAGAGCAUAGCUAUCCUAUCUUUGAGAAACUUGUUUUUACACCCUUUCAUUUUAGUCUUUAAUGUUAGCUUAGAUUAGUUUAAAUCUUUCUAAAACAUUUACAUAUUCUUUUAAAGCUAACAUCCAUAAGAAAAUCACCUAUUUUCCUAAUUUGAAUAUCACUUGUGUUUGCGAAAACCCUUCCCAGUGAACGAUCUUAGAACCACUAUGCUGUAGUAGCUUGGCUACUUUAGUAAUAGUAUUUAAGGUAUAAAUUUUGUUGAUACGCCUUUAAAGCUAAGCUACCAUGAGUCGAAUCAAAUGGCGUCGUUACUUUGUUACAUCAUGUGUUGCUUUUAAUGGUUCAAUCCCAAUAGUUAGAACCAAUCUUCUUGAAGUAACAACUAUGGUUUGCAUUGCACUCAAGACACCCAUUCUUUUACAUUAAACCAUCAAACCUUUUAUAUUGUCUCUGAGCUUAUUUUAAACCAUACAGGCUCUUUGUCAAUCUGCACACCAAAUUAUCUUCACUCUUCACUACAUAACCUUGUGGUUGCUACAUAUAUGUUUCCUUCUCUAAAUCACCAUAGAGGAAAGUUGUCUUCACAUUUGGUUGCUCAAAAUGUAGAUCAUUUUGCUACUACAAUACUCAAAGCAAACUAAAUAGUCAAUUUCACAACUAGAGAGAAAAUAUGUGGUCAAUUCUUUCUUUCUAUUAAAACCCUUUUACAACCAAUCUAGCCUUAUAUCUCUCGAAGCCAUCAUGGUCCUAUUUAACUUGAUACACCUACUUAUUAUGAAAAGCUUUCUUACCCACUAGUAAAUCUACUAGCUUCCAAGUUUGGUUAGAAAUAAGAGAUUUCAUUUCAUCUUUCAUUGCAAGCUCCCAUUUGCAAUUAUCUUCCUCCUGACAUAGCUUAUCAUAACAUUCAGGUUCACCUGCAUUUUUCAGUAGCAAAUAAGUCAAAUACUUCAUGCUUGGUACAUGUGGCAUGUUGAAUCUCCUUAAUUUAGAGAUUGAAACUAGAUCUUGUGGUAUAUCAACAUCCUAUGUAAUGUUUUCCUCAAUCUAAGGAUUUUGACUCAUCUUAUCUACCAUACUACUUUGUGGGACAUCAUUCGACUCAAAGUAAAUAGGUUUAAGCUAUAUCGGACUAGUAGAGUGUGUUGUAUCUCUAUCCUUAUACAAAACUUUCUCAUUGAAUAUGACAUUUCUGCUUCAAAUCACUUUCUUAUUUUUGUUAUCUCAAAGCUUAUUACAAAAAUCAUCAUCAUCAUAACUAAUGAAACUACAUUUUAGUGAUUUAGCAUCGAGUUUGUUAGAUUACACUACCUUGUUAGAUUACAAACACUAGUUCAUGGAGGGUUUACAUGCAUUAGAUAGUAGGUCACAAACCUGACCUUUGUCUCAUUGUUAUUUGCAUAAGGUAUUGGAGAGCAAUGGGUUCUCUAUAGUGGGAUGUUGAAUCAACUUCAAAAUUAGAUUAUGAGGGAGCCAAUACUCUUAUGAGUCUCAGUUGUUGCUGUUUUGAGCUCAAAUACCGUGAUGACACGAUUUAUGAGGGUUGGAUUAGCUCUUGAUUCACUCUUGUGCAUAAGGGCAUUUUGGUAAUUAUAUAAGGUUGCACAAAGGAUAGUAAAUAAGAUCUUUGGAAUGGCUAAUUGAUUAAUUAAAUGUCUUUAUAUGGUUAAUUAAUUAAUUAGGAUCCGUUUUAGCCUAGAUUAAGUGGCCUAAGCUCAUGUGGGCUUAAGUCACUUAAGCCUAAUAGGGAAACCCUAUAAAUACCCCUUUAUGGGGUUAGGGUUUCUUAAUGGCCUUUUGAUUGUUGUCUUCCAAAUCCAGAGAUAGAGUGAGAGUCUAGUCAUCUACCCUUUCAAAGUCCACUCUUUAGAGUGCCAUUGGUAUGGUUCAAGUCAUCGGGUGAAACACUUUAGGUGUACAAGACCUCUAAAGCAUUCAGACACAUUCUUCAUUAGAUGGAUUUUGAUCUAGGAACAUCUAAAUCACAGGUAUGAGUUCUAAUAUCUGGAUUUGUAUUAUUUUAUAUUUUUUAAGCCAUUUAUUUUUGUUUUGUUAGAAUUGGAGAUCCCUACGGUUAGAUCUAAAGGUCACUAAGGUUAUAUCGAUUCACCCUAUGAGAUUCAAAGCAUGGAAUGGAGUAAUCCUGUUCCCAACACACACUUUUUCUAGUAUUUUGUGCUCCAAUGGUAUUGAUGGUCCCUGAUUGAUCAAGUAAGUUGUUGUGUUGAUUACUUCUACUUAGAACUGCUUCAGCAACCCUGCCUGUAUACGCAUGUUUUCAACUAUCUCAAUUAGUGUUAUGUUCAUUCAUUUUCCUAUACCAUUCUAUUAGGGAGUCCUAAGCACAAUCUUCUUUAAUUUAAUUUCCAUUUUUAUAACAGAACUUCUCGAACUUAAGAGUCUUCAUGCUCCUCACCAUUAUCAUACCGCAACUCCUUGACUCU